AAAAUGACUUUGAAAAACAGUAACAUCACCUGCCUCAAAGGGUUGCUUUCAAGAAGGGAAAAAUGAGAUAGACUCUACAAUGCCUGGCAGCAGCCAGCUUGAAGACAGAACAAGGCUGGACCUCUCAACAAGAGAAAGUGGGAAGGAGACAGCAGGCUUCUGUAUGAAAAAUCAGAGGCAAGUGGAGGAAGCAGUGUUUAGUGAGCCCCAGAACAGGGCAGGUAUGGUCCUCAGUCCUUUCCUGCUAUCUCAUUGAAUCCUCAAAACACCUUUCCAGUCUUACAGAUGGGGCAA
rnacentral:lncRNA from 1 species